CUUUGGCUCAGCCUGGCUCCGACUCUUCCGCUACGUAUACAUAUGUGUAAUCCAGCACAUAUAAAGACGGGGACCAGAAAAUAAUUACUUUCUCUCCAUUGAAACCCAUUCAUAUUUUUCGAUCUCAGAGGUCCCAUGAGGGGCCUACCGGAAGGGGCGAACUUACGAGCUCUAUGACGCUGCUCUCGAGCGACAUAUAGCUAGGACUGCUAAUCUUACAAGCAUUCUCAAGAUCGAUUGUCGGCAGUAGUUCUAUUCAUUCUAUCGCUGUAACUUUUCUCUCGUGUUGCUAUGGACAAGUUGUUUGACCUGGAUCUCCGUGACCCCCGCACAGAAGGAAGACACCUUGCCGUUGGGUUGAUGCAUGACCAAUUCCUUGCAGAAGCCAUGGAGGCUGCGGAGAAUGUCAAUCGGGCAAGAUCUGGAGGGGAUUCACCACGGAGCUCAACCAAACGGAGCGGACGCGGCAAGGCCAGAGGGAGACGUGGAGGCCGUGGAGGCCGGGCGGGCCAUACAGGCCGUGCAGACCGAUGGAGUGGCCUAACUACAGGCAUGGACACUGAGGUGUUGGCACUUCCUUCAGAGGAUUCCUUGCCCUUACCCAGAGCACAGCAAAAUCCUCAAGAGAUGUUUGGUGCAGAGAGUGCCUUCCGGAGCAGUGGUUUUGUGGGGCCUGCGACAUGCAUAACCACAGCAAACGGCCACUCCACAACAGGGACAGCAUGGUGGAUGGCUUCUUUAAAGCCAUUCCCCCAUCCACAUGUAUCUCAAGAGGAGAGACUGGAAUAUAUGCCACACAUGAGCAAGAUCGCAUUUUACCCACAAUGCCAGCACAGCACUGCACCUGCCAGGUCCCUAGCUUCACAGUGGAAGCUGGGAAACCAGUCAUCUUGAUUACCAUCAAUGGGCGUUAUGAUUUGCAUUUGCCACGUUAUGUGUGCCAAACAUGCCUGCAGCAGUGGGCCCCUGAUGUGAGAGACCUAGUCAGGAGUGGAUAUUGGCCAGCUUCUGCAAAUGCUUCCACAAUCUACACGGUGGACCUCCUCAACACCUUUCAGGAGCUGAAGUUGAUCUCACCUGGAUUCUCCAGGCAAGCCCUUGCAAAAAUGCUGGAACAUCGCACACUGUGUGCAGGAAGAGUAAGUGACAUCAGCAAUACUAUUUAUUAUGCUCACCAAUAUUGUCAGCUUGUCAGGGGGGGCCUGCCCUCGGGGUCUGACCGGGCCAAGUCUCGGGCA